rnacentral:rRNA from 1 species
UACGUAGGGUGCAAGCGUUAAUCGGAAUUACUGGGCGUAAAGCGUGCGCAGGCGGUUUUGUAAGUCUGAUGUGAAAGCCCCGGGCUCAACCUGGGAAUUGCAUUGGAGACUGCAAGGCUUGAAUCUGGCAGAGGGGGGUAGAAUUCCACGUGUAACAGUGAAAUGCGUAGAGAUGUGGAGGAACACCGAUGGCGAAGGCAGCCCCCUGGGUCAAGAUUGACGCUCAUGCACGAAAGCGUGGGGAGCAAACAGG